rnacentral:rRNA from 1 species
GAUGAACGCUGGCGGCGUGCUUAACACAUGCAAGUCGAACGGAAAGGCCCAAGCUUGCUUGGGUACUCGAGUGGCGAACGGGUGAGUAACACGUGGGUGAUCUGCCCUGCACUUCGGGAUAAGCCUGGGAAACUGGGUCUAAUACUGGAUAGGACCACUUCUUGGAUGGUGUGGUGGAAAGUUUUUUCGGUGUGGGAUGAGCUCGCGGCCUAUCAGCUUGUUGGUGGGGUAAUGGCCUACCAAGGCGUCGACGGGUAGCCGGCCUGAGAGGGUGUACGGCCACAUUGGGCCCGAGAUCCGGCCCACACUCCUACGUGAGGCAGCAGGGAGGAAUAUUGAACAAUGGGCGAAAGCCUGAUGCAGCGACGCCGAGUGGGGGAUGAGGGCCUUAGGGUUGUAAACUCCUUUCGCUAGGGACGAAGCGUUUUUGUGACGGUACCUGGAGAAGAAGCACCGGCUAACUACGUG